rnacentral:rRNA from 1 species
UACGUAGGUGGCAAGCGUUGUCCGGAUUUACUGGGUGUAAAGGGUGCGCAGGCGGAUCUGUAAGUCAGAGGUGAAAUCUCACAGCUCAACUGUGAAACUGCCUUUGAUACUGCAGAUCUUGAGUUCGGGAGAGGUUGAUGGAAUUCCAGGUGUAGCGGUGAAAUGCGUAGAUAUCUGGAAGAACACCAGUGGCGAAGGCGGUCAACUGGCCCGUAACUGACGCUCAGGCACGAAAGCGUGGGUAGCAAACAGG